rnacentral:rRNA from 1 species
GACGAACGCUGGCGGCGUGCUUAACACAUGCAAGUCGAGCGGUAAGGCCCUUUCGGGGGGUACACGAGCGGCGAACGGGUGAGUAACACGUGGGUGACCUGCCCUCAGCUCUGGGAUAAGCCUGGGAAACUGGGUCUAAUACUGGAUAUGACUCCACGGUGCAUGUCGUGGGGUGGAAAGCCUUGUGCGGCUGAGGAUGGGCCCGCGGCCUAUCAGCUUGUUGGUGGGGNGAUGGCCUACCAAGGCGACGACGGGUAGCCGGCCUGAGAGGGCGACCGGCCACACUGGGACUGAGACACGGCCCAGACUCCUACGGGAGGCAGCAGGUGGGGAAUCUUGCGCAAUGGGCGAAAGCCUGACGCAGCGACGCCGCGUGAGGGAUGACGGCCU